rnacentral:rRNA from 1 species
CAAUACUUAGUGGCAGACGGGUGAGUAACAUGUGGGUAUCUACCCUUUGGCCUGGAAUAACACGAGGAAACUUGUGCUAAUACCGGAUAAGUCUUUACAGAGAAAGCUUUAUGCACCAUUGGAUGAGCCCGCACUUGAUUAGUUUGUUGGUAGGGUAAUGGCCUACCAAGACUGUGAUCAAUAGCUGAUUUGAGAGGAUGAUCAGCCACAUUGGGACUGAGACACGGCCCAAACUCCUACGGGAGGCAGCAGUGGGGAAUCUUGCACAAUGGAGGAAACUCUGAUGCAGCGAUGCCGCGUGAGUGAAGAAGGCCCUUGGGUUGUAAAGCUCCUUCGUCGGGGAAGAAAAUGACUGUACCCGAAUAAAAAGGUCCGGCUAACUUCGUGCCAGCAGCCGCGGUAAUACGAAGGGACCUAGCGUAGUUCGGAAUUACUGGGCUUAAAGAGUUCGUAGGUGGUUGAAAAAGUUGGUGGUGAAAUCCCAGAGCUUAACUCUGGAACUGCCAUCAAAACUUUUCAGCUAGAGUUUGAUAGAGGAAAGCAGAAUUUCUAGUGUAGAGGUGAAAUUCGUAGAUAUUAGAAAGAAUACCAAUUGCGAAGGCAGCUUUCUGGAUCAUUACUGACACUGAGGAACGAAAGCAUGGGUAGCGAAGAGGAUUAGAUACCCUCGUAGUCCAUGCCGUAAACGAUGUGUGUUAGACGUUGGAAAUUUAUUUUCAGUGUCGCAGCGAAAGCGAUAAACACACCGCCUGGGGAGUACGACCGCAAGGUUAAAACUCAAAUGAAUUGACGGGGACCCGCACAAGUAGUGG